rnacentral:rRNA from 1 species
CCGGCGACCGGCGCACGGGUGAGUAACACGUAUGGAACCUGCCCGCAGCAGGGGGAUAAGCGGAAGAAAUCCCGUCUAAUACCGCGUAACAACGUUGGGAGGCAUCUCCCGAUGUUUAAAGAUUUAUCGGCUGCGGAUGGCCAUGCGGCGCAUUAGCUAGUCGGCGGGGUAACGGCCCACCGAGGCGACGAUGCGUAGGGGUUCUGAGAGGAAGGUCCCCCACACUGGUACUGAGACACGGACCAGACUCCUACGGGAGGCAGCAG